rnacentral:rRNA from 1 species
GCUACGGGAGGCAGCAGUGAGGAAUAUUGGUCAAUGGGCGCGAGCCUGAACCAGCCAAGUAGCGUGAAGGCUGACUGCCCUACGGGUUGUAAACUUCUUUUAUAAAGGAAUAAAGUGAGGCACGUGUGCCUUUUUGUAUGGACUUUAUGAAUAAGGAUCGGCUAACUCCGUGCCAGGAGCCGGAGUAAUACGCAGGAUCCGAGUGUUAUACGGAUUAAUUGGGUUUAAAGGGAGCGUAGAUGGGUUGUUAAGUCAGUUGUGAAAGUUUGCGGCUCAACCGUAAAAUUGCAAUUGAUACUGGCAGCCGUGAGUACAGUUGAGGUAGGCGGAAUUCGUGGUGUAGCGGUGAAAUGCUUCGAUAUCACGAAGAACUCCGAUUGCGAAGGCAGCUUACUAAACUGCCACUGACAUUGAUGCUCGAAAGUGUGGGUAUCAAACAGGAUUAGAUACCCCGGUAGUC